AGGUGAAAUGCCCCUCCCCGAACGUUUGCGAGUUCUGAGGACGCCAUCCAGCCGGGACACUUACGUCCCCAAGCCGUCGCGUUCGGUACCCAAGCCUCAGACUUUUUCCUGGAAAUCCAGUUCCGCCCCUAGCAAUAGGUGCGCCUGAGCCCCUGGGAAACCAGCCCAGGGGUGUCGUUCUAGGCACCCAGUUGCUGGAAUACUGGUUGAAUUAAUGGCAGCAGCAAAUGUAUUGAGCACCCACCCCCACCCCCGAGAAGGGGCGAGAGAUGGUGGAGAGGUGGCUUAACCCACCGCGCUGCAAGGCCAGCCCCAGAUGCUGCCUGAUGAUGUUGUAGGUUGUCAGAACCGGCCCUGAUACCGGCAGCUGUGUAAUUUGUGAAUGGUUUGGUUUGGUGGUCUUUGCUCAAAUUUACUCCACUGGAGAUGACUGGUCUUGAGCAUUUGCCCUUUGAACACUUGAACGUUGAACAGUUCUGACGCAGUCAGCCGGAUCCAAAUCCAAAGCAGAGCUCCAUCCGCCUUCAGGGCACCAGAAAAUGAGACGGCGCACCUGCUGAGCCCCUCAGGCUCCCUGUUCUCUUGCUGUGUCUUGGGAAGCCUGGGGUGCUUAAGCCUGAGAUCUGAUUGUAAUGAGCGACCCAGCCAACAGUUGCUUUGGGCAAGAAUAAGGCGGGUUAAUCAAGAAAAGGGGAGCGCCCUUUGACUCGGCCCCCUCGCUGAACGAAGACGGUCAGAGGGUGAAGGAAAUGUCCUCUGGUUCUAAGGAAGAUGCAGGAUCCCGAGACUAGAAGCUGGCUUGUAACAAGGGCUGACCUGUCGCAGCAAAGGUUGGUUCUUUCUACCUGUAAUGGCUGGAGAAGCGUUACUUCUCAGCCAGCCAGAUAAUACAUUCCUUGGGAGGCUCCAUCUUUCAGUAAGUGGAUGGAAACUUAGACUUGCAUGUUGGUUUUGUUUUCCAGUGCCUUCAACUUAAUAUUCUAAAGCCAUUAUAUUUUGGGGUGGUAUUUCCUGAACCUCUUCAGUGGCUCGUUUUGUUUAAUGAGGAAUUCAGGUAUAAAUGUUAAAAUAAAUUCAGUGAAUAUAAAUGAGUUUGUGGAUGCACUGUCAUAGUUGCAUAGUUAUGAUGUGCUGAAUUAUGAAAUGUCAGUCAUUUUUAAGUGAAAAUGUGGAAACUUGCUUGAGGCAACUAUUGUGAUUUUGUUGUGUAAUAGAGGAGGAAAGUCUAAUAAAAAUAGAACCAAUGUGAUCUUCACUAAUGGAAGACAUCUGGUUGUUGGGGCAUAGAUAUAUUCUAAUCUUUUUCCAGGUUCUUAUCUCACACCAAGAUUUUCUUUUAAAGUAUUUAUUUAUUGGCUGCUAGCAUUGUGGUGUAGCAGGUAAAGCCACUGCCUGCAAUGCAGCCAUCUCAUUUGGGCACCCGGUACAAGUCCUCGCUGCUCCACUUACAAUCCAGCUCCUUGCUAAUGCACUGGGAAAGCAGCAGAAGAUGGCCCAAGUGCUUGGGCUGCUACACCCAUGUGGGAGACCUGGAAGAAGCUCCUGGCUUUGGUCUGGCCCAGCCCUGGCAGUUGCAGCCAUUUGAGGAGUGAACCAGUGGUUGGAAGAUCUAUCUCUCUGUCUCUUGCUCAUUGUAACUCUCAUUAAAAUAAAUAAAUCAUUAGAAAAAAAAAGAAAUAAAUGAAAUAAAAGAAACAAAAAGAAAGAUUUAUCAGAAAGGCAGAGUUGGGGCCAGCACUGUAGCUUAGUGGGUAAGGCCGCUGCCUGCAGUGCCAGCAUUCCAUAUGGGUGCUGGUUUGAGUCCUUGCUGCUCCACUUCUGAUCCAGCUCUCUGCUAUGGCCUGGGAAAGCAGUAGAAGAUGGCCCAAGUCCUGUGUGGGAAACCUGGAAGAAGCUCCCAUCUCCUGGUUUCAGAUCAUUGCAGCUCUGGCCAUGCGGCCAAUUGGGGAGUGAACCAGCAGAUGGGAGAUCUUUCUCUCUCUCUGCCUCCCUUCUCUAUAUAACUCUUUCAAAUAAAUAAAUAAAUCUUAAAAAAAAGUUACCGAGAAAAGGAGAGAGAUCUUCCACUGGCUGGUUCACUCCCCAGUUGGCCACUACAACCAGAGCUAGGCUGCUCUGAAGACAGGAGCUUCUUCUAAGUCUCCCACAUGGAUGGUAAGUGGAGGUGCCCGAGGACCUGAGCCAACCUCUGCUACUUUCCCAGGCACAUCAGUAGAGAGCUGAAUGGGAAGCGGAGUGGCCAGCAUUUGGACCGGUGCCCACAUGGAAUGCCAGUGCUGCAGGCAGUGGCCUCAUCUGCUAUACCACAAUGCUGGCCCCAAGUUAAGAAUUCUUAAGUGCAGAAAUUUAUAAGGUACACAGAUGGGAACAGGAUUUAUAUAACAGAGAAAACAUACAUUCUCACACAAGUGUGGGCUGAUGAGAAAUACCCAUCAUGAGUGGGUCAGAGGACUGCCCAAAGGGAGAAGGGAGAGAGGGAGCACCUGAAUAGCACCUCAGCCAUGGUCCACAGGGAGAGAAGGAGGGUGUGCCUCUACCUGCGUGGAGCCACCGGGGCAUUCUGUGCCCCCAUAAAUUCCACAUGGAGUUUAAUAUACAAAUUUUCAUGGUGACCAUCCCC